UACGUAGGGGGGCAAGCGUUGUCCGGAUUUAUUGGGCGUAAAGAGCGUGUAGGCGGCCUGAAAGGUCAGCUGUGAAAACUCGAGGCUCAACCUCGAGACGUCGGUUGAAACCAUCUGGCUAGAGUCCGGAAGAGGAGUGUGGAAUUCCCGGUGUAGCGGUGAAAUGCGCAGAUAUCGGGAAGAACACCUGUGGCGAAGGCGGCACUCUGGGACGGUACUGACGCUGAGACGCGAAAGCGUGGGGAGCGAACAGG
rnacentral:rRNA from 1 species